rnacentral:rRNA from 1 species
GAGUUUGAUCUUGGCUCAGAGCGAACGCUGGCGGCAGGCCUAACACAUGCAAGUCGAACGAACUCUUCGGAGUUAGUGGCGGACGGGUGAGUAACACGUGGGAACGUGCCUUUUGGUUCGGGAUAACUCAGGGAAACUUGUGCUAAUACCGAAUGUGCCCUUCGGGGAAGGAUUAUCGCCAUUAGAGCGGCCGCGUCUGAUUAGCUAGUUGGUGAGGUAAAGGCUCACCAAGGCGACGAUCAGUAGCUGGUCUGAGAGGAUGAUCAGCCACAUUGGGACUGAGACACGGCCCAAACUCCUACGGGAGGCAGCAGUGGGGAAGUCUUGCGCAAUGGGCGAAAGCCUGACGCAGCCAUGCCGCGUGAAUGAUGAAGGUCUUAGGAUUGUAAAAUU